rnacentral:rRNA from 1 species
AUUGAACGCUGGCGGCAGGCCUAACACAUGCAAGUCGAGCGGAUGAAGGGAGCUUGCUCCUGGAUUCAGCGGCGGACGGGUGAGUAAUGCCUAGGAAUCUGCCUGGUAGUGGGGGAUAACGUCCGGAAACGGGCGCUAAUACCGCAUACGUCCUGAGGGAGAAAGUGGGGGAUCUUCGGACCUCACGCUAUCAGAUGAGCCUAGGUCGGAUUAGCUAGUUGGUGGGGUAAAGGCCUACCAAGGCGACGAUCCGUAACUGGUCUGAGAGGAUGAUCAGUCACACUGGAACUGAGACACGGUCCAGACUCCUACGGGAGGCAGCAGUGGGGAAUAUUGGACAAUGGGCGAAAGCCUGAUCCAGCCAUGCCGCGUGUGUGAAGAAGGUCUUCGGAUUGUAAAGCACUUUAAGUUGGGAGGAAGGGCAGUAAGUUAAUACCUUGCUGUUUUGACGUUUCCAACAGAAUAAGCACCGGCUAACUUCGU